rnacentral:rRNA from 1 species
AUACGGAGGGUGCAAGCGUUAUUCGGAAUCACUGGGCGUAAAGGGUGCGUAGGGGGUUUGAUAAGUCUGAUGUGAAAUCCUAUGGCUCAACCAUGGAACUGCAUUGGAAACUGUCAGACUAGAAUACUGAAGGGGCAGAUGGAAUUAGUGGUGUAGGGGUAAAAUCCGUAGAUAUCACUAGGAAUACCGAAAGCGAAAGCGAUCUGUUGGGAAGUUAUUGACGCUGAGGCACGAAAGCGUGGGGAGCAAACGGGAUUAGAAACCCUAGUAGUCC